rnacentral:lncRNA from 1 species
GCGCACAAUACGGGUAUAAAUAGAUUGAUCGGACUGACACAUAGGGCGGGUACUUAAAGUCAGAUUCGCGCAACACCCAGCACAGGUGGCUGUAGCAGUGGUAGCUGUAACACAUCCUUGAAACAUGAAAUCGGUUCUAGGUUUCCUCAUUGUUCUGUCUUGUGUCGGACUGAUCACAAGUGCCAUGAUACAGCAAACAAGAGCUGCUUUCUCACCGCCGCGAGAUGUGACGCCAGUUCCACCCAUAGCUGCCCACUCCCAGAUGCUACACUGGUGGUGUAUAAUCCUCAGGAAAUGGGGAUGGACCUGGACAUGGUUAUACAGGAAGACCUGCAAUUGAUCUCACCGCCUUCCUGCUUCAAAGACAUUCACUAUACAGAAUUGAGAGACUAUGGGAAAUCCAUCAAUGCCAACAACGAUGAUGAAGUGUUCCAAUAACAGACGACUGUGAUAGAUAACGAGUUGCACUGCUGUCGCAUGUCCAGCACAUUUGCAAAUAAAACGCCAUUCCACUAACCUACAUGCAAGGCGAUAUAUUAAACUAUUAAAAAUUGA